UAUACAGAAAUCGAGUGAUUAUGUCAAAAAAUGAUGUAUGUCUUUUUUGACAAUUGCUUAAAAUAAAUUCUACACCGACAGAGCGGGCUGUUAAUCUAGAGGCUGGAGUACAAAGAAGUGGCACAAUGAUGUGGGCUGAUGACAUUUAUAAUUAUCAAGGAAUCACCCCUACAUUCGCUCAGAAUUUUAAUGAAACUGUCCCUUGGGAAGGAAGAACUGAUACCUUGAUAUCACGGUUUGUACAUCCUAUAUAUACGACAAAUUUUAGAACAUUAUAUAAUGAAGAACCAGAUCAUUUUAUCAUUAGUUGUAUGAUAAUACAACUUUUUCAUGAAUUCUUUUAUUAUAAAAAUAUUACUUCUAAAAUCCCCGCUUUAAGGGACCAAAUCACAUGGCUAAAAUUUUUAAUCUUUUUGAUAGAUAGUCGCUGUUGAUACUUAACCGAGUAUGGUCAUAUAGUCGGAUAAAUAAAAUUUCCAUCCUUUCAAAUAUAUAUUAUAUUCGUCAGU